rnacentral:rRNA from 1 species
UCUGAGCUAAAGAAGGUAAUACUAAUAGGAAACCUAUGCCCUUUGGCGGCCUUUCUUCUUAUUGGAGGAACUUGUCCAUUAAUCGAAAUUACCCGCUCGUUUUCUCUUUUUUCUAGUUUUUAUACCGUCGUCUUAAGAAUAUCGUUACACCCAUUAUUCUACUCUGAACAUUUAGGUAAGUCAGAUCAAGGUGAAGCUUAUAUAAAAGAUUAGGGUGAGUUAUACUUGAGUACUACUUUGGGCUUUUAUUUGAAAAGAUUUAUAAAUUAAGAUUCGACAGUACCUUAGUUCUAAAAAAUCUUAGGGAAGAAGUAAAGUAAGGUGU